rnacentral:tRNA from 1 species
GGACCAAUGGACCAUGGUGGUAGAGUCGCUGCCCGGCAAGCAGUAGAUUGCAGGUUCAAACCCUGCUAGUUCCA